rnacentral:rRNA from 1 species
UACGGGGGGGGCAAGCGUUGUUCGGAAUUAUUGGGCGUAAAGGGUUCGUAGGUGGCCGGCUAAGUCAGACGUGAAAUCCCCGGGCUCAACCUGGGAACUGCAUUUGUGACUGCAUCGCUGGAGUACGGCAGAGGGGGAUGGAAUUCCGCGUGUAGCAGUGAAAUGCGUAGAUAUGCGGAGGAACACCGAUGGCGAAGGCAAUCCCCUGGGCCAUUACUGACGCUGAGACACGAAAGCGUGGGGAGCAAACGGG